GACGAACGCUGGCGGCGUGCUUAACACAUGCAAGUGGAGCGACGAACCGGGCUUCGGCCCGGGGCAAAGCCGCGAACGGGUGAGUAACACGUGGGUAACCUGCCCCGAUGAUUGGGACAACCCGAGGAAACUCGGGCUAAUACCAAAUGUGCUCGCUGCCCACGAGGGCAACGAGGAAAGGAAGCUUCGGCCUCCGCAUCGGGAUGGGCCCGCGGCGCAUUAGCUUGUUGGUGAGGUAACGGCUCACCAAGGCGACGAUGCGUAGCUGGUCUGAGAGGACGAUCAGCCACACUGGGACUGAGACACGGCCCAGACUCCUACGGGAGGCAGCAGUGGGGAAUCUUGCGCAAUGCGCGAAAGCGUGACGCAGCAACGCCGCGUGCGGGAAGACGGCCUUCGGGUUGUAAACCGCUUUCAGUUGGGACGAAGGUCCGCCGGUGAAGAGCCGGCCGGACUGACGGUACCUUCAGAAGAAGCCCCGGCUAACUACGUGCCAGCCGCCGCCGUAACAC
rnacentral:rRNA from 1 species